GCAGUCGUUGCCGAGUGGUUAGGCGAUGGACUAGAAAUUCAUUGGGGUCUCCCCGCACAGGCUCGAAUCCUGUCGACUCCG
rfam:Ixodes scapularis strain Wikel colony gcontig_1107729032150, whole genome shotgun sequence.